rnacentral:rRNA from 1 species
GACGAACGCUGGCGGCGUGCUUAACACAUGCAAGUCGAACGCUGAAGCUCAGCUUUUGUUGGGUGGAUGAGUGGCGAACGGGUGAGUAACACGUGAGUAACCUGCCUCCUUCUUUGGGAUAACGCCCGGAAACGGGUGCUAAUACUGGAUAUUCACUGGUCUUCGCAUGGGGGUUGGUGGAAAGGGUUUUUCUGGUGGGGGAUGGGCUCGCGGCCUAUCAGCUUGUUGGUGGGGUGAUGGCCUACCAAGGCUUUGACGGGUAGCCGGCCUGAGAGGGUGACCGGUCACAUUGGGACUGAGAUACGGCCCAGACUCCUACGGGAGGCAGCAGUGGGGAAUAUUGCACAAUGGGCGCAAGCCUGAUGCAGCGACGGCGCGUGAGGGAUGGAGGCCUUCGGGUUGUGAACCUCUUUCGCUCAUGGUCAAGCCGCAACAAUGGUUGUGGUGAGGGUAGUGGGUAAAGAAGCGCCGGCUAACUACGUG